CCCUUAGAUGUUCUGGGCUGCACGCGUGCUACACUGAGUGGAUCAGCGGGUCAGGUUACGCGAGAGCGUUUCCUAAUCUUCAAAUCCGCUCGUGAUGGGGAUUGACGGUUGCAAUUUUCCGUCAUGAACGAGGAAUACCUUGUAAGCGCGGGUCAUCAUCCCGCGCUGAAUACGUCCCUGCCCUUUGUACACACCGCCCGUCGCUCCUACCGAUUGAGUGGUCCGGUGAGGCUUUGGGAUCUAAGCGAAAAGAGCGUUUCGCUCCUUUUGCUGGGAGAACUCAGUCGAACCUUAUCAUUUAGAGGAAGGAGAAGUCGUAACA
rnacentral:rRNA from 1 species